rnacentral:rRNA from 1 species
ACCAGACUCCUACGGGAGGCAGCAGUGGGGGAUAUUGCACAAUGGGGGGAACCCUGAUGCAGCGACGCCGCGUGGGUGAAGAAGCGCCUCGGCGCGUAAAGCCCUGUCAGCAGGGAAGAAAAUGACGGUACCUGAAGAAGAAGCCCCGGCUAACUACGUGCCAGCAGCCGCGGUAAUACGUAGGGGGCAAGCGUUAUCCGGAUUUACUGGGUGUAAAGGGGGCGCAGACGGCGAUGCAAGCCAGGAGUGAAAGCCCGGGGCCCAACCCCGGGACUGCUCUUGGAACUGCGUGGCUGGAGUGCAGGAGGGGCAGGCGGAAUUCCUGGUGUAGCGGUGAAAUGCGUAGAUAUCAGGAGGAACGCCGGUGGCGAAGGCGGCCUGCUGGACUGCAACUGACGUUGAGGCCCGAAAGCGUGGGGAGCAAACAGGAUUAGAUACCCGCGUAU